UACGUAGGGGGCAAGCGUUAUCCGGAAUCAUUGGGCGUAAAGGGUGCGUAGGCGGCCCUAUAGGUCAGAGGUCAAAGGCUACGGCUCAACCGUAGUAAGCCUUUGAAACUGUAGGGCUUGAGUGCAGGAGAGGAGAGUGGAAUUCCUAGUGUAGCGGUGAAAUGCGUAGAUAUUAGGAGGAACACCAGUGGCGAAGGCGACUCUCUGGACUGCAACUGACGCUGAGGCACGAAAGCGUGGGGAGCGAACAGGAUUAGAUACCCUGGUAGUCCACGCCGUAAACGAUGAGUGCUAGGUGUCGGGGGUCGAACCUCGGUGCCGCAGUUAACGCAUUAAGCACUCCGCCUGGGGAGUACGUUCGCAAGAAUGAA
rnacentral:rRNA from 1 species